GAAAAUAUACAUAUGAGUGGGUGUGUGAAUAGCUCAUUGAGAUGUAACACUAAUUUGUUAUAUGCAUUAUCAGGGAUUAUCCCUAGGUGUGCCUGCCAGAGAAGAAUGAUUGAAGCAUGAUAGAAAAAUUGCAACAGCUAAUUUUUGCAGAGAUAAAAAGGACCAUCUUCAUGGAGGGGGAGUCAUAUCAGGAUGUGUCCAUGCCAGCUAAUUCCAACAAGCUGUUCUGCCCACUCCAUGACAGUUUAAUUGGGAUGAGAGUAGAGCACUGGCUUCUGAUAACAGCCAUCUGGACCGAGGGGAAAACCUGGGAAUUGUAGCAUGUUCUGUGUGAAUGGAAUGUAGCCAUUAGAAGUAGAUAGUGUGUGUGUGUGGGGGGGGGGGGUGUCAUGGGUCAACUAGAUGAUAUACUAUCAGUUUGGUGGGAAAUAGUCAGAACUAACUUUCAAUUCUCCUUGGCAAGAAGGAAAAAUAAAGCUGUUUCCAAGG
rnacentral:lncRNA from 11 species